UACGGGGGGGGCAAGCGUUGUUCGGAAUUACUGGGCGUAAAGGGCGCGUAGGCGGCGUGACAAGUCACUUGUGAAAUCUCUGGGCUUAACCCAGAACGGCCAAGUGAAACUGUUGUGCUAGAGUGCAGAAGGGGCAAUCGGAAUUCUCGGUGUAGCGGUGAAAUGCGUAGAUAUCGAGAGGAACACCAGAGGUGAAGACGGGUUGCUGGGCUGACACUGACGCUGAGGCGCGAAAGCCAGGGGAGCAAACAGG
rnacentral:rRNA from 1 species